rnacentral:rRNA from 1 species
UAAGGGAAUCUUUCGGCCAAUGGACGGAAGUCUGACCGAGCAACGCCGCGUGAGUGAAGAAGGUUUUCGGAUCGUAAAGCUCUGUCGUUAGAGAAGAACGUUGGUAGGAGUGGAAAAUCUACCAAGUGACGGUAACUAACCAGAAAGGGACGGCUAACUACGUGCCAGCAGCCGCGGUAAUACGUAGGUCCCGAGCGUUGUCCGGAUUUAUUGGGCGUAAAGCGAGCGCAGGCGGUUCUUUAAGUCUGAAGUUAAAGGCAGUGGCUUAACCAUUGUACGCUUUGGAAACUGGAGGACUUGAGUGCAGAAGGGGAGAGUGGAAUUCCAUGUGUAGCGGUGAAAUGCGUAGAUAUAUGGAGGAACACCGGUGGCGAAAGCGGCUCUCUGGUCUGUAACUGACGCUGAGGCUCGAAAGCGUGGGGAGCAAAUAGGAUUAGAUACCCUGGUAGUCCACGCCGUAAACGAUGAGUGCUAGGUGUUAGGCCCUUUCCGGGGCUUAGUGCCGCAGCUAACGCAUUAAGCACUCCGCCUGGGGAGUACGACCGCAAGGUUG